UUCUCUUUCUCUAUGUACCUUGCUGAUGUCCCAUCUCUCCUAGCGCUACUGCUGCACUUCUUCUGAAGCCCUCUCCUCACACCCGCUGCUACUUCUUUUCUCCCCACACCUCUUGCUGCUGCUCCUAGUAUUUCUGAUCCACAAAUCUGCCAUUCUUCUCCCCCAAACCAAACCUGCUGUUGUUCUCUUUGUGUGUGUGUGUUUGUGUGAUUCAUAAAGAAAUUGUCGGUGGGAACGACACCUAUGGGAUCACAAGAAUCCCUACUACGGUUGCAGGGCGCGGGGUCGUGAGAAGAGCGGAUCAAACAGAUAGCACAUGGUUCGUUUAUCCAGGUUCGGGCCGCGAGGAUGCGUAAAACCCUACUCCUGGUUUGGUGGAUUGUAUAUCUGUGUUCUUGAGCUAGCUAUGGGGCGUGAGGAGCUCCAAAAAGCUGAAUCCUCCUCUUGGUUGCCUGGGGCCUCCUUUUAUAGGAAAGGGGUUGCCACAGUGGCACACAGGAGGUGGAAAGGGUACAGUGAUGUGAGGUUAUCCCUUGCAUUACAUGACAAGGCGCAUUUAAUGCGUCUUGCCUAGGUGUCCUUGCUUUAUCGGGGACGGGGGAGAGCCCUGUCUCGUCCGUCGCCGCUCCCUCUCAAGUCGAAACGCGCCCUGGCCAGCGGCGCCCGCGGUGCCAUGUAGGCAGGCAGGCAGCUGAGGUGGCGCAGUGGUGGGUCUCCAUGAAGAUCCGCAUGCCGCCACGCAGGUGCCUGCCCAGCUGGUUGGGUCGGCAGCUGCAUGCGAACGGCGGUGGAGGUUUGACCGGCGUGGGCCUGAUGGUGGCCCUACGGGUGUUCUUGGCAAGGGCCUUGCCGGGGCCCCGGCAACAGUCUUGCCGUGGCGCCUGCUAUCAUCCCCGGCAAGGCUCUUGCCGGGGGCCUUGUGGUCCUCCUUGGCCGGGAUCCCGCCAAGGAUCAUCAUCUUCUAAAGGGUGUAUCUGAUCUUGAAUGUCUUCACAAAGAUCCGCAUGCCACCACGGGGAUGUCUCCCGAAUCCUUGCCCCAUGGGGACAGUGGACUCAUGUCACAUCCCUAGUUCUGGUAUGACCUAGGCUAGCUAGUCAUGUGUGCAUCACGUUUAAAUUUCAUUUAAAUUUGAAAUGGGGAUUUGUAAAACCCUUAGAAAUCAUUUCUGGAAAUGACCCAGAUAAAAAUUGCUCCAAAAGGGUCCAAGAAAAUGUUCAUGUCUCUCUGAAAAUAUUGGGCAGAGGUAAAAUUUCAAACCAAUAUUUUUAGGAGCUCAUAAAUAUUUAUUUUGGCCAUUUGGAAUUAAUCCAGUAAUUAUUUGCAUUGGAUAAAUAUUUAUAUAUAUAUAUAUAAUAUUGUCCAAUAAUUCUAAAUUUUGGUGAGGGGCUUUGGAAUAAUCCUUUAGGCCCCUGCAAAAAUUUUCAGCAGAAAAUAACUUGAUUUAGUAUCUUUAUUAAAUCAAAACAAAGGUCAGAAAAUAGAAAAGAAAACAAAAUGGAGAAAGCUCACCUGGCCUUACUUGCCUGGCAGCCCAGCUGGCGGCCCAGCUCCUCUAGCCGGCCCAGCCGACUGGCGACACCAGUCGUCGCCUACCUCCUGCCAGGAGGAUGGCGUGCGUGUGCCCGACGCGCGCGAGCAUGCGCCGGCCACCUCCUGCUUCCCCGCUCGCUGCUGGAGGCCCCCGACGACGCCACGCACUUGCCCCGGACCUCUCGCACUCUCUCUCUCGCUCUCCCUCCUCCCCUGGAUCUCUCCCUUUCCUCGCAUCCGAGCGAGCUCGUCACCGCCGAUCGCUGCUGCCGCGGCCACCGUCUCCGCCUCGUCCCUCUGACAUGUCUACGAGCUCUGCGACGUCGUCCUCGUCUUCUCCACCGACCCAGGCAAGCCGGGACGCACCAUAGCGUCCUCAUCGUGCUCGUCUUCGGCCUCGGCCGCCGUGGAUCGCCGCCGUCGAAUUCGCGGCAACCAACGCUUCCCCGAGCCCGCUUCGACGCCCUCUACAACUGCUGUGAGUUCCAUCGUCGUUUGCCCCUUUCCCCUUGCUUCUCGAUCACCGCAGCCGCCAUUUCGACCGAAGCCGUAGCACCUCGCCGCCGGCCAUGGCGCCACUGCGGCCAGGGGCCGAGCCAGCCGCAACUGAGCACGUCACCGUGCUCCUGGUGCCACGAGGGUGCCGCAGAGCCCCUCGGGUGGCCUCCCCGUGCCCCACAGCCGCUUCCGCUUGAAGCCCGUGCUCUGGCCGCCGCCCCGAGCUCCGCUCCGGUGAGCUCCGGCCGUCCCCGCCUCUCCCACUUGCUCCAGAUGAUGCGGACGAGCGCUGGCUCCUCGCCAGUGGUCUCCGCCAUCAAAAUGGCCGCUGGAGGGCGAAAUUCGAGGCCCUCCGCCGCGUCUGGCUCGCCGGCGUCAAGCCGUCGGUGGCUUUGACCCCGCUGACCGUUGACUGGGUGGGCCCAGUUUGACAUCCCCCUUGUGUCACUAACGCGUGGGCCACCCCCCUGACAUUUAGUUAGUAUUAGAUUAGCACUAAUUAACCUAGGUUAGUUACCGAGUUAGUCAUUGACCAGUGGGCCCGGCGCCCACUAAUCCUAAUUAGGCUAAAUAAACCCCUUGUUAACUAACUGAGUCACUGACAUGUGGAUCCCACACGUCAGGUUUGACUCGGACAGCUCCUUUGACCUGCUGACGCAAUGCUGCCGUCAUGCUGACGCAAUAUAUCAUUUUCUGGUAUUAAAAUAAAUCAGGAAAUUCCAGAAAAUGAUAUAAACUUCAAAAAUUCAUAGAAAUUCAACCGUAGCUCAGAUUGAAAUAAUUUAUAUAUGAAAAAUUAUCAGAAAAAUUCAAUCUAUCCAUUUGUACCAUUUUCAUGCAUGACAAACCAUCUAUACAUGCUGUAUAUAUGAAAACACACUUAUGGCAUAUCUAAGAGCUUAUGUUAAAGGUGCAUUUGAAUCUUUAGUUCAAAUGCACUUUAACCAAAUGAAUGCUAGUUGCAUUAGCUCAAACAACAUCACAUACUCAUGCCAUGUUCAUGCAUCAUAAUGUUGCAUAUGCUUGUGUUUGAUUUCCGACACCGUUCCUUCUCGAUAGGUCCUGCUUCGAAAAGUGUUCGAGAGUACCUAUCAGUGGAGCAGUGCCCCCCUGUUGAUCUACCAGGCAAGCAAACCCCCUUGUUCAUUCCGAUACAAUCCUACUCUCUCGCUCCUGCUCUCAUUAUUGCAUUAGGACAACAACGAUUCAACUGCUACUUUAUGCUGCGGUAGUUGAACCCAUACCUCUGCAUGACCUGUCAUUGCCACAGUAAAUAGUUAAAACCCACUAGCAUGUGUAGGAGUUGAUUGAGCCAUGUUGUGUUCUUGCCAUGCCAUGCCUGCUAUUGCUUAGAGUUGUGUCAGGUCUGAUUCAUCGGGAAUGAAUUGGAGUGGUACGAUAUGUUUUGGUGCUGAGAGUUAAGCGUGUGAACACGAUUUGGUAAAGGUAGCGGUGAGAGGCCAUGUAGGAGUACAUGGUGGGUUGUCUCACUGGAACCAUCCUUAAGCACUGAGUUCUGUGUAUGUUGUCCAAUGACUAGCUACUACCACACAUUGGGCUCCGGGCACUCCAAGCUCUCUCGACUUAUUAACAAACUUGAUCUUUUUCCAGGAGUUGCAAUUAGUUUCUGGUGUUUGUAGGUAGUGUUAGUAGUCUACCAAGUGGCACCCGGCCAAGUGGGCUUGGGACAGACUAGGCACAAGUGGCAUGGUGUACGAAGCAUAGAUCCAUCCGGCGAGGUGGGCUUGGGAACCCUGCACACAUUGUUUGGGGCCGUGAGCGACACCCCGGCCGGAUCUCCUUACGGAUGGAACCCGAAUAGGCGAUAAACCUGGACUAGAGUCCUGUGUGGUUAGUCAGGUCGUGGCCGACACCCUCGCCAGGCUUCCGCUUGAAGGUUGCCGAGGUACAUGACGUGUACAUGGUGAUAAGUGGUGAGAGCGUGUGUGAAGAAGUACACCCCUGCAGGGUUAUCAUGAUCUAUUCGAAUAGUCGUGUCCUCGGUUAUGGACUUCUUGGAUGCUUAUGUGGUACAUAGACAACUUGAAGUGGAUACUCUAAAAUGCUCAAGACAAGUGUGAGUGCUAUGGAUGGCCUUCUCGUAGGAAGACGGGAAUGAAUCCAUAGUAGUGUAUUGACGUGGUGAUUAGUGGACUCGUGUGCGCCACCUCAAAAGUGUUACCAGCAGUCGUAGUACAGGAUAGCCACUGAGUCAAAGCUGGCUUGCUGCAACUAAACUCCACAUUACCUUCUUGAUACAAGUGCAGGUAUGAUAGGAUCUGAUGUAAGUCUUGAUGAGUACCUUUGUACUCAUGUUGCUUUAUUUAUGUUUUUGCAGCGGAGACUUCGGUCUUACUAGUUUACGUGGACUUCGACAACUAGCUUGUACCUCAGCUACGAUCUUCAUCAGAUGUUGUAGAUAGUCAGGCACCUCAGCCUUUUUCAUUUGUAGUUGUCUGUACUCAGACAUGUAAUGCUUCCGCUUGUUGCUUGUAUGCUCCGAAUGAUGGGUCAUGUGACCCUUGCUUGUACUUAAUGCUAUGUGGCUCUUUUGGGCCUUUAUCUAUAUGAGUUUGCGUUAUGUUGUGAUGCCAUGUUGUACAUCACAUACUUGCAUGUUACGCGUACGUGUAACGUGUAUUGCUAUGUGUGGGAUCUGACAAUCUGGUUGUUUAUCCUUGGCAGCCUCUCUUAUGGGGAAAUGUAGUCUAGUGCUUCCUUUAGCCAUAGUAGUCCGCUACAGCCCAGUUCACCGGAGUCCUGCUAGCCCAGCACUGCUGCUCAGGACACUUGACUGGCCGGCAUGUGUUUCACUUCGUUCCUGUGUCUGUCCCUUCGGGGAAAUGUCACGCGGUGACUUCCGGAGUCCUAUUAGCCCAGUGCUACAGCCCGGAUUCAUAUGCUGUUGACCGACAUGCUCGAUGUGAUUCAUGUAUGCCUGUCCCCAUAGUUUAGCACCGCUUUGGGUUCACGACUAGCCAUGUUGGCCCGGGUUCUUUGUCAUAUGGAUGCUAGUGACACUAUCAUAUACGUGAGCCAAAAGGCGCAAACGGUCCCGGGCCAGGUAAGGUGGCACCCGUGGGAAUACCGUGCAUGAGGCCGCAAAGUGAUAUGAUGUGUUACAUGCUAGAUCGGUGUGACUUAGGAUCAGGGUCCCGACAGCUUUGGUAUCAGAGCCUGACUGCUUGUAGGAUUUCCAAGCCAACCUGGUCGAAGUUGAGUCUAGAAAUUCUUUAGUUAUGUAAGGGAAUUGAUUGUGGAAGGGAACGUAAGGCUCUUUUUACUACUUAUAUCUCAUGCCCUUCUGAUCUGAGUCAUCCUAUCUUUCCUACGGGGUUAAGGAACUAGGCUUUCUUUUCUGUCUAUCAGGAUCACAUGUUACUACUCCAUAGUCUCUUAGGAUUGGUUGAUCAGAGUCAUAUCCCAGUUCGAGUACCUCUGGUGUAGCCUGUUUAGUAAUAUCUCAGAACCUUGAGUGAUGAUGUUGAGUAUGGUGCUACCCCGUCUUUCGCAGAAUGUCUCAUUCUGAGCAUUUUACUGCCGUUAUGCUGCCGGAAUUGUCCUAGGAGUUUGAGAGAUACUAAAUUUCCUUGUGCUACAUGUUGCAUCCUAUAGUUCUUGUUGACCUCGUCAUUGGUUCCGCUUCUCGGGAUGUCAUUAGUUAACCGAAGUUCUGUUGCUUGUUGCCUGAACCACGGAGGUGGUAGGGAUGAGGAGGAUCCUCCCGACCAACCUUCAUUGGCAGAGUUCAUGAUAGAGAUGGAGAGGAACAAGCGUGAGUCUAACCGCUUGUUGGCACUUAUCGAGGAGAACACCGCACAUCGGUGCAAAGAGUCAGCGACCAUCCAGGAUUUCAUUGAUCUGAAACCACCCACCUUCCAUCAUUCCAUUGAGCCACUCGAUGCAAAUGACUGGCUCCAUAGUAUCACACACAAGCUGCAUUCUGCAAACGUAGCUGAAAGUGACAAGGUCACUUAUGCUGCAUAUCACCUGGAAGGUCCUGCUAGUCUCUGGUGGUAGAACUAUGAGGCUAUGCUUCCAGCUGGUCAAAUUCCUACCUGGAGAGAUUUCACUGAGGCUUUUCGCGAGCAUCACAUUCCUGAAGCCCUCAUCGAUCGCAAGAGAGAACAGUUCUAUAGUUUCACCCAGGGUUAGAUGGCUGUUGAUGCUUACAGUAGAGAGUUUGAGAACCUCGCCCGCUAUGCUACAGAAGAAGUGUCCACAAAUGCCAAGAAGCAGGCUAGGUUCCGGAAGGGUCUCAACCCCAAGUUGCGUCGUGAUCUCCACUUGCAUUGUUGCAAUACAUUCCACGCUCUUGUGAAAAAGGCCAUUAAUGUAGAGACAACUCAACUCACCUACGAGGAAUCUCGUAAGCACACCCGUGAUUUGGGUUCUUCCUCCGGUUCUAGUUCUCAGAAGCGCCGGAUUUGGGUUCCGAACUCCGCUCUUCCACCCGGUUAUACACCAAGGCCUUCUUGUGUGGCACCUCACCCAGUUCAACCAUAUGCUACACCCAUGCCUAUUGGUAGACCACUUGUCAAUGCGGGUCCUUGUCCUACCUCCAAGAUUUGUUACAAGUGCAGAGAGCCAGGCCACAUUGCCCGUAUUUGCACCCAGACCCGUGUUGCUCCACCCCAUCCCGAGAAGUCCGUUGGCCGUGGUAGUAAGCCUUCACACCAGAUGAUCAGUGCCAAGUCAGCUCCCACUGAACUUGGACGUGUGCAUCAUGUCUCAGCUAAAGACGCUCAUGAUGAUCCAGAUGUCGUUCUUGGUACACUCCUUGUCAACUGUCACCCAGCUUCGGUUCUAUUCGAUACCGGGGCAUCUCACUCCUUCAUUUCCGAAAGUUAUGCCCGUUUGCACGACAUGUCAUUUUGUGAUAUGCCCUCCCCACUACUCAUUCAAACUCCUGGAUCCAAGUGGCAAACUUCUAGGAUAAGUUAUGGCAAUGAAAUACAUGUUGACAGACUUGUAUUUCUAGCUUCCUUGAUAUCCCUCAAGUCUUCAGAUAUUAACAUCAUUUUGGGUAUGGACUGGAUGAAAGCUCAUUAUGCCAAGAUUGACUGUUACACCAGGACUGUUCAGCUCACACACCCCUCUGGCAAGGUAGUCACUGUCUCCACCAAAAUUGCAAGGCGUCAACUAUAUUCUCUAAAUGUCAGCCCUCUUCCUGACCUUGAAGAUAUUCCGGUAGUCCACAACUUUCCGGAUGUCUUUCUAGAAGAACUGCCAGGUAUUCCACCUGACAGAGAUGUAGAGUUUGUUAUAGAUCUUAUCCCCGGAACCGCCCCAAUUUCUAGGAGACCUUACAAGAUGGCACCCUUAGAACUAGUCGAGCUUAAGAAACAACUCGAUGAAUCCUUGCAAAAGGGUUUCAUAUGUCCUAGUUCUUCUCCCUGGCUUGCUCCGUCCUCUUCGUCAAGAAGAAGGAUGGUACGGACCGAAUGGUUGUAGAUUAUCGUCCCGUUAAUUUGGUCACGAUAAAGAACAAGUAUCCGCUCCCCAGGAUCAACGAUCUGUAUGAUCAGCUCGCUGGAUCCUCAGUCUUCUCCAAGAUGGAUUUGAGGUUAGGCUACCACUAAAUCAAGAUCAGAAAUGGGGAUAUUCCUAAGAUGGCUUUUGUCACUCGUUAUGGUCAGUACGAGUACACCGUCAUGUCCUUUGGUCUAACCAACGCUCCAGCUACUUUCUCUCGCUUGAUGAACUCGAUCUUCAUGGAGUACUUAGAUAAGUUCGUCAUGGUUUACCUCGAUGAUAUCCUUAUUUACUCGAAGAACGAGGAAGAGCAUGCCGAACAUCUUAGACUUGUGUUAGAAAAACUCAGAGAGCACCACCUUUAUGCCAAGUUCUCCAAGUGCAAAUUUUGGUUGCCAGAAGUGACCUAUCUCAUCCAUGUAAUCUCUGGUAAGGGCAUUGCUAUCAAUCCCGAAAGAGUUCAGGCCGUUCUUGAUUGGACUCUGCCUAAAACAGUUAAGCAAGUUAGGAGUUUCCUUGGUCUAGCCAGUUAUUGUCGCCGAUUCGUUGAUAACUUCUCCAAAGUGGCCAAACCUCUCAUGGAACUUCUCAAGAAAGAUAAAAAGUUUGAGUGGUCCCCACAGUGUGAGCACAGUUUUCAGGAACUGAAAAGAUGCCUAACUUUUGCUCCCAUACUUGUGCCACCGGACUUCACUAAGGACUUUGUUAUCUAUUGUGAUGCCUCACGACAGGGACUAGGUUGCAUUCUUAUGCAAGAUCGCCAUGUGAUUGCCUAUGCAUCUCGACAGUUGCAUCCACAUGAGGAGAAUUAUCCUACACAUGAUCUAGAGCUUGCAGCCGUAGUCUAUGCACUUAAGACAUGGCGACAUUACCUUCUCGGUAAACGUUGCGAGAUUUACACCGAUCACCAGAGUCUCAAGUAUAUCUUCACCCAACCAGAUUUGAACCUUAGGCAAAGACGUUGGUUGGAGUUGAUCUCAGAUUAUGAUUUAGGGAUUACCUACACCCCAGGUAAGGGGAAUGUCAUGGCUGAUGCGCUAAGUCGUAAGUCCUAUUGCAACAAUUUAAUGUUGCAGCAGGGCCAACCACUUCUCCAUGAGGAAUUAUGUAAGCUUAACCUCCACCUUGCUCCUCACGGAUUCCUUUCUACCUUGGUGGCGAAACCUACUCUUGUGGAUCAAAUCAUCUCUACUCAGCAGCAGGAUACGGGAAUUUCCCGGAUCAAGAGAAACAUUAACAAGGGAGUUGGUGGUAGUUUCUCUAUAGAUGAUCGUGGUGUUGUUUUGUUUGAGAGUCGCUUGGUGGUUCCCAAGAAUCAACAUCUUCGACAAUUAAUCCUUAAGGAGGCGCAUGAAUAUCCUCUCACGAUUCAUCCCGGUAGUACUAAGAUGUAUCAGGACCUACGCCAGAGGUUCUGGUGGACUAGGAUGAAGAGAGAAAUUGCUCAAUUUAUUGCUAACUGUGACGUUUGUCAUCGCGUGAAGGCAGAGCAUCAGAGACCUUCUAGCACUCUUCAACCUUUAGCUAUUCCUGAGUGGAAAUGGGAUAAAGUUGGUAUGGACUUCAUCACCGGCUUUCCCAGGACCAAGAGAGGGAAUAAUGCUAUCUUCGUAGUCAUUGAUCGUCUUUCCAAAGUGGCUCACUUCCUACCCGUUCGAGAGAGUAUCACUGCUAGUCAGCUCGCUGACUUAUAUAUUUCUCGAAUAGUAUCACUUCAUGGUGUUCCACUAGAGAUCAAUUCAGACCGUGGUAGUCUUUUCACUUCUCAUUUCUGGGAGAGUUUCCAAACUGCCAUGGGCACCCAUCUUUCCUUCAGUACCGCUUUCCACCCUCAAUCAAGUGGUCAGGUGGAAAGGGUCAACCAGAUUCUUGAAGACAUGCUUAGAGCUUGCCUUAUCUCAUUCGGUAUGGAUUGGGAGAAGUGUCUUCCCUUCGCCGAGUUUGCUUAUAACAACAGCUACCAAACCAGCCUCAAGAAAGCUCCUUUUGAGAUUCUGUAUGGACGAAGAUGUCGAACACCUUUGAACUGGUCAGAAACCGGUGAAAGACAAUUCUUUGGACCGGAUAUGAUCCAGGAGGCAGAUGAGCAAGUUCGCGUCAUUCGUGAGAAUUUGAAAACAACCCAAUCUCGUCAAAAGAGCCAGUAUGACCGUCGUCAUAAGGAAGUGGCUUAUGAAGUUGGCGACAAGGUUUAUCUUCGGGUUACUCCCUUGAAGGGUACCCAUCGUUUCGAUAUCAAAGGCAAGUUGGCUCCUCGUUACAUUGGUCCUUUUCGCAUUCUCGCUAAACGAGGAGAGGUUGCCUACCAGUUGGAGCUACCCCCACAUCUUUCUUGAGUACAUGAUGUCUUCCACGUCUCUCAACUCAGGCGUUGCUUCUCGGUUCAGUGGUCUCAUCAUUCCGAGAGAGAAGCUACUUGGGAGCGUGAAGAUCGUCUUCGACUUGAGUAACCCGCUUCCUUCCUGCCGACUCCUGAAUCUCGGGACGAGAUUCUUCCGAGUGGGGGCGAGUUGUCACAUCCCUAGUUCUGGUAUGACCUAGGCUAGCUAGUCAUGUGUGCAUCACGUUUAAAUUUCAUUUAAAUUUGAAAUGGGGAUUUGUAAAACCCUCAGAAAUCAUUUCUGGAAAUGACCCAGAUAAAAAUUGCUCCAAAAGGGUCCAAGAAAAUGUUCAUGUCUCUCUCUGAAAAUAUUGGGCAGAGGUAAAAUUUCAAACCAAUAUUUUUAGGAGCUCAUAAAUAUUUAUUUUGGCCAUUUGGAAUUAAUCCAGUAAUUAUUUGCGUUGGAUAAAUAUUUAUAUAUAUAUAUAAUAUUGUCCAAUAAUUCUGAAUUUUGGUGAGGGGCUUUGGAAUAAUCCUUUAGGCCCUUGCAAAAAUUUCCAGAAGAAAAUAACUUGAUUUAGUAUUUUUAUUAAAUCAAAACAAAGGUCAGAAAAUAGAAAAGAAAACAGAAUGGAGAAAGCUCACCUAGCCUUACUUGCCUGGCAGCCCAGCUGGCGGCCCAGCUCCUCUAGCCGGCCCAGCCAACUAGCAACGCCAGUCGUCGCCUACCUCCUGCCAGGAGGACGGCGCGCAUGUGCCCAACGCGCGCGAGCACGCGCCGGCCACCUCCUGCUUCCCCGCUCGCUGCUGGAGGCCCCCGACGACGCCACACACUUCCCCCGGACCUCUCGCACUCUCUCUCGCUCUCCCUCCUCCCCUGGAUCUCUCCCUUUCCUCGCAUCCGAGCGAGCUCGUCACCGCCGAUCGCUGCUGCCGCGGCCACUGUCUCCGCCUCGUCCCUCUGACGUGUCUACGAGCUCUGCGACAUCGUCCUCGUCUUCUCCACCGACCCAGGCAAGCCGGGAUGCAACGUAGCGUCCUCAUCACGCUCGUCUUCGGCCUCGACCGCCGUGGAUCGCCACCAUCGAAUUUGUGGCAACCAACGCUUCCCCGAGCCCGCUUCGACGCCCUCUGCGACCGCUGUGAGCUCCAUCGUCGUUUGCCCCUUUUCCCCUUGCUUCUCGAUCACCGCAGCCGCCGUUUCGACCGAAGCCGUAGCACCUCGCCGCCGGCCAUGGCGCCACCGCGGCCAAGGGCCGAGCCAGCCGCAACUGAGCACGUCACCGUGCUCCUGGUGCCACGAGGGUGCCGCAGAGCCCCUCGGGUGGCCUCCCCGUGCCCCACAGCCGCUUCUGCUUGAAGCCCGUACUCCGGCCGCCGCCCCGAGCUCCGCUCCGGCGAGCUCCGGCCGUCGCCGCCUCUCCCACUUGCUCCGAAUGACACGGACGAGCGCUGUCUCCUCGCCAGUGGUCUCCGCCAUCCAAAUGGUCACCGGAGGGCGAAAUCCGAGGCCCUCCGCCAUGUCUGGCUCGCCGGCGUCAAGCCGCCAGUGGCUUUGAUGCCGCUGACCGUUGACUGGGUGGGCCCAGUUUGACCUCCCCCUUGUGUCAUUGACGCGUGGGACACCCCCCUGACAUUUAGUUAGUAUUAGAUUAUCACUAAUUAACCUAGGUUAGUUACCUAGUUUGUCACUACCAGUGGGCCCGGCGCCCACUAAUCCUAAUUAGGCUAAAUAAACCCCGUGUUAACUAACUGAGUCACUGACGUGUGGAUCCCACACGUCAGGUUUGACUCGGACAGCUCCUUUGACCUGCUGACGCAAUGCUGCUGUCAUGCUGACGCAACAUAUCAUUUUUUUGGUAUUAAAAUAAAUCAGGAAAUUCCCGAAAAUGAUAUAAACUUCAAAAAUUCAUAGAAAUUCAACCGUAGCUCAGAUUGAAAUAAUUUAUAUAUGAAAAAUUAUCAGAAAAAUUCAAUCUAUCCAUCUGUACCAUUUUCAUGCAUGACAAACCAUCUAUACAUGCUGUAUAUAUGAAAACACACUUAUGGCAUAUCUAAGAGCUUAUGUUAAAGGUGCAUUUGAAUCUUUAGUUCAAAUGGACUUUAACCAAAUGAAUGCUAGUUGCAUUAGCUCAAACAACAUCACAUACUCAUGCCAUGUUCAUGCAUCAUAAUGUUGCAUAUGCUUGUGUUUGAUUUCUGGCACCGUUCCUUCUCGAUAGGACAACAACGAUUCAACUGCUACUUUAUGCUGCGGUAGUUGAACCCAUUCCUCUGCAUGACCUGUCAUUGCCACAGUAAAUAGUUAAAACCCACUAGCAUGUGUAGGAGUUGAUUGAGACAUGUUGUGUUCUUGCCAUGCCAUGCCUUCUAUUGCUUAGAGUUGUGUCACGUCUGAUUCAUCGGGAAUGAAUUGGAGUGGUACGAUAUGUUCUGGUGCUGAGAGUUAAGCGUGUGAACACGAUUUGGUAAAGGUAGCGAUGAGAGGCCAUGUAGGAGUACAUGGUGGGUUGUCUCACUGGAACCGUCCUUAAGCACCGAGUUCUGUGUAUGUUGUCCAAUGACUAGAUACUACCACACAUUGGGCUCCGGGCACUCCAAGCUCUCUCGACUUAUUAACCAACUUGAUCUUUGUCCAGGAGUUGCAAUUAGUUUCUGGUGUUUGUAGGUAGUGUUAGUAGUCUACCAAGUGGCACCCGGCCAGGUGGGCUUGGGACAGACUAGGCACAAGUGGCACGGUGUACCAAGCGUAGAUCCAUCUGGCGAGGUGGGCUUGGGAACCCUGCACACAUCAUUUGGGGCAGUGAGCGACACCCCGUCCGGAUCUCCUUACGGAUGGAACCCGAAUAGGCGAUAAACCUAGACUAGAGUCCUGUGUGGUUAGUCAGGUCGUGGCCGAUACCCUCGCCAGGCUUCCGCUUGAAGGUUGUCGAGGUACAUGACGUGUACAUGGUGAUAAGUGGUGAGAGCGUGUGUGAAGAAGUACACCCCUGUAGGGUUAUCAUGAUCUAUUCGAAUAGCCGUGUCCUCGGUUACGGACUUCUUGGAUGCUUACGUGGUACAUAGACAACUUGAAGUGGAUACUCUAAAAUGCUCAAGACAAGUGUGAGUGCUAUGGAUGGCCUUCUCGUAGGAAGACGGGAAUGAAUCCAUAGUAGUGUAUUGACGUGGUGAUUAGUGGACUCGUGUGCGCCACCUCAAAAGAGUUACCAGCAGUCGUAGUGCAGGAUAGCCACUGAGUCAAAGCUGGCUUGCUGCAACUAAACUCCACAUUACCUUCUCGAUACAAGUGCAGGUAUGAUAGGAUCUGAUGUAAGUCUUGCUGAGUACCUUUGUACUCAUGUUGCUUUAUUUAUGUUUUUGCAGCGGAGACUUCGGUCUUACUAGUUUACGUGGACUUCGACAAGUAGCUUGUACCUCAGCUACGAUCUUGAUCGGAUGUUGUAGAUAGUCAAGCUCCUCAGCCUUUUUCAUUUGUAGUUGUCUGUACUCAGACAUGUAAUGCUUCUGCUUGUUGCUUGUAUGCUCCGAAUGAUGGGUCAUGUGACCCUUGCUUGUACUUAAUGCUAUGUGGCUCUUUUGGGCCUUUAUCUAUAUGAGUUUGCGUUAUGUUGUGAUGCCAUGUUGUACAACACAUACUUGCAUGUUAUUCGUACGUGUAACGUGUAUUGCUAUGUGUGGGAUCCGACAAUCUGGUUGUUUAUCCUUGGCAGCCUCUCUUAUGGGGAAAUGUAGUCUAGUGCUUCCUUGAGCCAUAGUAGUCCGCUACAGCCCGGUUCACCGGAUCCUGCUAGCCCAGCACUAAUACUCAGGACACUUGACUGGCCGGCAUGUGUUUCAGUUCGUUCCUGUGUCUGUCCCUUCGGGGAAAUGUCACGCGGUGAAUUCUGGAGUCCUGUUAGCCCAGUGCUACAGCCCGGAUUCAUAUGUUGUUGACCGACAUGCUCGAUGUGAUUCAUGUAUGCCUGUCCCCAUAGGAUAGCACCGCUUUGGGUUCACGACUAGCCAUGUCGGCCCGGGUUCUUUGUCAUAUGGACGCUAGCGACACUAUCAUAUAUGUGAGCCAAAAGGCGCAAACGGUCCCGGGCCAGGUAAGGUGGCACCCGUGGGAAUACCGUGCGUGAGGCCGCAAAGUGAUAUGAUGUGUUACAUGCUAGAUCGGUGUGACUUAGGAUCGGGGUCCCGACAACUCAAGGGUGAGUCACUCCGUAGGUGUGGGGCGAGCUGCCACGGCAAGGGUCUUGCCGGGUUUGCUAAAACCGCCUCCCAGCAAGGAUCUUGCCGGGGGGGGUCCGCUUUGUCCCCUUUGCUCUUUAUGGUCUUGGUCUUGGCAUCAUUCUGCUUCUCCUGAGCUUCGGCCUUACCUUGGCUCACCUCCCUUGCCUUGCUCAGUGUGGUGGUGCCUGUGGCUCAGACUGUCCGUGCAUAGUUAUAGGGGUACAAAAAGUGUACCCCUCUUUUUGUACACCGACAGGAGCCCCCGGGCCUGGGCCACACGUAAGCGCAAUCGCAUCGUUGGGCUAGGCCCAAAAAUGGUGCGCGGGCAGGCGGGGCGGUGUUUACCGUGGUAAGUCUCUUCGCGCGCUGCGCUUCCCAUGCUUCCCGCGCGUGGCACGGCAUGGGGAGGCAUGUGUGACAUGGGAGGCAUGCGUGGGGCUGAGCUCUGCAUGCAUGCGUCACGUCAUAGUAAAGGGGGCGGUUCGCGCCUUCCCCAUAAACGGAGGGAGGCAUGGAGGCGCGGCCCAUUUACUGAACGGGGCCGAGGCGUGGUCUUCAAGGCGUCCACUCCCCACGAUCACGGGGUGGGGAGAGGUCGCCUCACCCGCUGCCUCGGUCCUGCACGCCUGCCACGUGGCUCUCAUGUGCUUGGGGUGGCGAACGGUGGAGGCGGGAAACUGGGCCGCCGCGGGCUGGGGCGGCGGGUCGGUCCCAGUUCCCUGCGCCUUCCGCGUCUUGAUUUGCUGAGCGGGGCGGCCGAGCCCCCACCCCGUUCCUUUAUAAAGAGCGGGAGGGGGAUGGCGUCCCGCAUUCAUUUCAUCUCCUCCUUCCUUCAGCUUAUGCUCCCCCCUUCCAUCCGCCAUGGAGAGAGGGAAUCCUGGUCCUUCAACGGUGGCGGUGAGGGUCGCCGCUCGAUAACGCGUCCCUCCUUCUCCUGCACCCGCGGUGGCAAAGCCAGCCACGAGGGGAAGGGGGAGGGGGCGAGGCCGUGGGCGAGGCCGAGGCGCUCGGGGAAGAGGAGGACGGGGCGGCGCGCCGGCCUCGCCUCCGCCAGCAGUUCCUCCUCCCAGGGAGGGCCACGCUGGGGAUGACCCUUGCGAGUUCUUCGUCAGGCUGCACCGGCCGCCUCGCCGUCGCCUUCGCCUCCCGACUCCAUUCGCGCGGAAGAUGGAGCUGGAUCUGCCGGAGUCGCUGCAGCUGCACAUGAGGGGAUGUGGGAUCAGCGGCACGCGGGUCCGCGUCGACUUCCCCGCCCCUCAUGUGAUGUAUCUUUGUCGGGGAUGGAACACGUUUGCUCAUAUCCACCGCUUGACAGAGGGGCUCACUCUCCAUUUUAAGCUGAUGGAUGGUGGCCUUCUCUCCAUCAAGGUCUUCAGGUGUUUUGGGACCCGUGCAAGGUGCUGCGUGGAGAACUCUUCUGAUAGUGAAGACUCCUCCGCGGGCGGGAGUGACAAGGAGGACAGCGGCAGCGACGACGAGGGUAGUAGGCGGCAGGAUGACGGGUCCGAUUAGGUGUCGGGCGCCGCUCUGUGCGGCACCGGCGACCCCAUCAUCCAUGUCGCCGGCUCCCUGAACUUCUCGGGGUCGUCUCCUUGGGCGGAUGGCGUUGGGAGGCUGCGGAAGAGGAAGAGGGCGGGCGGCAAGGCCGUCAAGUCGGAGUACGCAGGCACCGACUGCUUCGAUGCGUGCUGACGUCCUGCCGCCUCAUCUUCGAGCUCUGCUUCCGGUGCCGCCAUCACCAUCCAGCCUUUGGACGGCCACCAAGAUGUUCUCUUGGUGUCUUCUACCACCCGUAGCUCACCUAGGCGCUCCUUUUGUCUCUUUCGCCUCCUUGACCUGCCUCCUGAGGAGAGGGACAAGAAAGGGAUUACAGGCACCUUAUCUCUUUUUAGUUUGUAAGCCUUCGGGCCUUUGUUGAAUUUAAAACUUGUAAUCCCAUCAUUCAUGUUUUUCAUUCCCUAUGGACUGUACCUGAGUGGAAUGUUUUUAAUGAAAAAGGGAUGCUUGCCGGGUCAUUUGUUUGCGGGUGGAACCCACGACAAGGAUUAAAUCCUUGAUAUCUUCAAGAUAAACAUUUCCUUGCCCGGCAACAGGCCUUGCCGUCUCCCCACUUCGCUCGACCUUCCUCACGCCUUUGGCGGAGGCAGGGAUGAGGCGGGUUCUAGCUCCUUGUUUCAUCCUUUCGUUGUCGCGACUACGACCAAACUUGGCCCCAGGAACGAGCCCUAGGGCCUAGAGUUAUGGGAUCAUGGUAGCUUAGGGGAAAACGAGGUCUCACAUACCUCAGUCCAUAAUGGAAUGCAUGAUAAGGGAUGAAGAACUUAUCUGAAGAUGCAGCCCCCGGCAACCCUGGUUCGCCGUGGGUGAAUCUUUGCUCUUGCAGCCCCCGGCAAUGCUGGCUUGCCGGGGGCUAGAUGCUGGUCUGUUCAUCUUCUUUUCCUCCCCAAGUGGUUUAGCACAGAUAUCCGUGUGUCCUGUGAACCAAAUAAGAAAAAAGAAAGACAAAGAGAUGCACACUCGACCUCUAAGCUAGGGGUUAGUCGCCGCUAAGCACUAUCAACCCUAACCAAGGACGAGACUGGACCUAGCAUGCAUGCUAUAACUUAGGGCGCCAGCGCUUCAUUUAUCUAUGCUUAGGGUCUGCGACUGGCUUUGUACAAAGGGUUACACGCCUCAUCGGCAAUGCUUGUACAAAAGGUGGCUUGCCGGGGGGCCCGGCAAGCCGCGCCUCACGGGUAAAACUUGCAAAGAUGCUCAAUGUUCCAGUAGUUACUCACCGGAAUGGCAUCUUCGGUCUCUAGGCGGACUGCGCCGGCCCUGGUGACUCGUAUUACGUGAUAAGGGCCUUCCCACUUUGGCAUCAACUUGUUGGAAUUCUUGGAUGAUUGAACGCGCCGAAGGACAAGGUCGCCUUCCUCAAGGCUUCGGGCAUGAACCUUGCGACUAUGGUAGCAGCGCAAGGCUUGCUGGUAGCGUGCUGCUCUCACAGCCGCCCGAAGACGAUCUUCCUCAAGGAGCAUUGCGUCAUCUUGCCGCAGUUGCUCUUGCUCAAGCUCAUCAUAAGCGAGCACUCGAGGUGACCCAUAUAUGAAUUCAAUGGGGAGAACUGCUUCUGCCCCGUAUACUAGGGCAAAGGGUGUCUGGCUGGUGGCUCGAUUUGGCGUCGUCCUGAUCGACCAAAGAACCGUCGGCAACUCAUCAAUCCAGCGCCUUCCACUCUUGUGCAGCCUGUCAAAGGUCUUGGUCCUUAAGCCUCGCAGUACUUCAGCAUUUUCCCUCUCAGCUUGACCAUUGCUUCGUGGGUGAGCAAUGGAAGCAAAACAGACUUUGCUGCCGAGGUCUUGGAUAUAUUGCAUGAAGGUGCGGCUUGUGAACUGUGUGCCGUUGUCGGUGAUGACCCUGUUGGGUACACCAAAACGGCACACUAGUCCCUUGAAGAACUUGACGACUGACUGAGCUGUGACCUUCCUCACUGCCUCCACCUCCGGCCACUUUGUGAACUUGUCGAUUGCAACGUACAAGUACUCAAAGCCCCUGAUAGCGCGGGGGAAAGGGCCCAGUAUGUCGAGCCCCCAGAUCGAGAAGGGCCAGGAGAGAGGAAUGGUUUGAAGGGCUUGAGCUGGCUAAUGAAGCUUCUUUGAAUGGAACUGACACGCUUCACACCUGGUGACUAGUGUCGUCGCAUCCUGGAGGGCGGUGGGCCAGAAGAAGCCUUGCCCAAAUGCUUUGCCGGAAAGGGCCCUUGACCCGAUGUGGGAUCCACAUAUGCCUCCAUGUAUCUCCGCCAACAGCUCCAGUCCUUCCUCCCGAGGGAUACACUUCAAUUUCACACCGUUCGGCCUCUUUCUGUACAGGACUUCAUCGACGAACUGGUACAUGGUAGAGUGACGGGCUACUUUUUCCGCUUCUUCCUGCUCUUCAGGAAGUUCCCCUGUUUGGAGGAAUCGAUGGUAUCCUGUGCCCACAUUGGAGCCUGGGGCUCGACGGCGAGGACUAAAGGCAUUUCCUCCGCUAUGGGAGCGGCUGUCUCGACGGCAAGAGCUUGACGCUCCGCCGGAGCUAGCCGUCCCGUGGCGGGUUCAGUGUCCCCGGCAACAUCCUUGCCGGCGGCUCCAGGGAGCUUGGCGGGAAAGUACUUGCCGGGUCCUGAUUUCCUCCUCUUGUUCUGCUCUGUUGAUGGAUCAACGGAUGGUUGAGUUAGCUGGAGCACAAAGGUACCUGGUUCCACAGGUAGCUUGAGGGCAGCGUGUUUUGACAGGUAAUCGGCGAUAUCAUUCUCCGCUCGGGGAACAUAUUCAGCCUGUAUACCGUCGAAACGCUCUUCCAGCUUUCUCACUUCAUCGACGUAGGCCUUCAUAAACGGUCUCUAGUAGUCCUUGUUGACUUGCUUGACGACGAGCUGCGAGUCGCCCCUGACGAUGAGCUUCUUGAUUCCAAGGUCCGCCGCGAUCCUAAGACUAGCAAGCAGCCCUUCGUACUCUGCCGUAUUGUUUGUUGACACCUCCCAGGGAAGUGCAUCUGGAUCACGUACUUGAGGUGCUCUCCGGUGGGCGCGACAAGCAGUACGCCAGCCCCGGCGCCGUGUAAGGAGAAAGCUACAUCAAAGUACAUGAUCCAACUACAACUUGCCUCCUUGCCGGGGAGAGCAAUCUCUUGGUCUUCUUCGUCAGGCGUUGCGGUCCAUUCUGCAAUGAACUCCGCCAGGACUCGGCUCUGAAUCGUCGAAGUACUUUCAAACUUGAGGCCAAAGCUGGACAGCUCCAGUGCCCAUUCCACAAUUCUUCUCGUUGCAUCUGGAUUGUGCAAUAUCCAUUGUAGAGGGAGGCGAGUGACGACAGUGAUCUCGUGUGCCUGGAAGUAGUGAUGCAGCUUCCUCGAGGCCAUAAGAAGGCCGAAGAGCAGUUUCUGCAUGCCGGAGUACCUUGAUCUAGCUCCCUGCAGGAGGGAACUAACAAAGUAGACCGGGUGCUGCAUCAUUUUGUUCUUCGGCGGCACUUCAACUGGCAGUGUCGUCUCUGCAUUGGUGGCGUCGGGCUCUGUCGCUGCCAUUACCUCGUCGUCAACCUCUCUCUGCGCCACUAGUGCAGCGCUGACCACCUGGUUCAUUGCCGCCAGGUAUAGCAGCAACUGGCUCCUGUGGCCUAGGCGCAACUAGUAUUGGCACGGAGGAGAGGUACUUUUUCAAAUCUUGCAAUGCUGCUUCGGCUUCUGGCGUCCACUCCAUCGGGCCCGCCUUUUUCAGGAUCUUAAAAAAGGGAAGGGCGCGCUCGACAGACUUGGAAAUGAAUCUGCCCAUGGCGGCGACGCAACCAGCAAGCUGAUGCACAUCCUUGAUUCGCUUGGAUGCUUCAAUCUGCUCUAUAGCUUUCAUCUUAUCCGGAUUGGCCUCUAUCCCACGUAGUGAUACAAAGAACCCGAGAAGCUUGCCGGACGGGACGCCAAAGACGCACUUCUCAGGGUUCAGCUUGAGAUUGAUCUUGCGCAGGUUUGCAAAUGUUUCUUGCAAAUCCGGUAUGAGGGUUGCCCUGUCCUUGGUUUUGACCACUAUGUCAUCCAUAUAAGCUUCCAUAUUUCUUUGGAGCUGGGGUUCAAAACCAAUCUGGACCGCCCUUGCAAACGUCGAACCAGCACUCUUCAGCCCAAAAGGCAUCCGCAUGAAACAAUACGUACCACAUGGGGUGAUGAAUGCUGUUUUCUCUUCGUCUUCUCUUGUCAUGAAGAUCUAGUGGUAGCCGGAGUAGGCAUCGAGGAAUGACAACAGAUCACACCCAGCUGUGGAGUCGACAAUCUGGUCGAUGCGCGGCAACGGGAAGGGGUCCUUAGGACAAGACUUAUUGAUAUCUGUGUAAUCAAUACAUAGCCUCCACUUCCCAUUAGCCUUGCGCACUACGACCGGAUUGGCCAACCACGUUGGAUGGAGCACUCCUCUUACCAAACCCGUUGCUACCAGUUUCCGGAUCUCCUCUGUGAUGAACUCUUGUCGUUCCAAAGCUUUAUUUUUGACCUUCUGCUUGACGGGCCGCGCAUGAGGACAGACAGCAAGGUGGUGCUCAAUCACCUCCCUGGGAACGCCGGGGAUGUCGGAAGCUUGCCAUGCAAACACAUCGACAUUCGCCCGCAGGAAGGUGAUGAGCGCGUCUUGCUAUUUGUCGUCAAGGGUGGAGCUUAUGGUGAAUGCCCCUCCCGUGUCGUCCUCAUUGACAGAAACCUUCUUGGUUCCCAGCGGUAUGGCCCUGGGCUUCUUGUUUCCGCCGGUGGAGCUCUCUGGCACGUCCUCGACGGGAGCGCUACACUCCGAAGAGGUGUGUUUGCCAGAGUGGGUGUCCGAGGUCCCACCGGUCUUCUUCUUCUUCUUCCCUCCCGGGGUCCCAGCGGCAGGAGCAAGUGCCCUAGUGGCGGCAGCUGCUGCAACUGCUUGCUGGUAUAGUUGGUCAGCGCAAAUCAGCGCAUCUUUCUUAUCGGAGGGGAUGGUAAUGAUCGUCACAGGUCCUGGCAUCUUCAGGGUGUUGUAGGCGUAGUGUGACACUGCCAUGAACUUGGCCAGCGCUGGGCGGCCAAGGAUCCCGUUGUAAGGCAAAGGGAUCUUGGCAACAUCAAACACAAUCCUCUCCAUCCUGUAGUUUAGAUUGCUUCCAAAAGUCAUGGGCAGCGUGACCUUUCCCUUAGGUUGGCUUCUUCCCGGGUUGACCACCUGAAACGUGCCCGUCUCUUCGAGGUCUCCAUCAGGAAUCUGCAGUUUCUCGAUCACGGCAGGCGAGAUCAAGUUCAGACCGGCCCCGCCAUCGACUAGCAUCUUUGUCACCUUGAGGUUGCGUAUUGUUGGUGAAACCAACAAUGGCAAGCACCCGACUGCAGUAGUGCGAUCAGGGUGAUCCUCAGUGUAAAAAAUGAUACGUGUGCUGGACCACUUCAGCGGCCUUUGGGCAUCAAACGACGGCUCUGCUGCUGUAAUCUCUCGCGCCCACUGUUUAAGCUGGCGGUGAGAAGUAUGCAGCGAGGCGCCGCCGUCGAUGCACAUGGCCUCUGUAGCUUUCUGAAACUCUUGGUCAUCGGAUUCGUCGUCCUCUUCGUGAUCGUCGUCUUCUAGCUUUUUGUCACGGCCCCGGGUGGGCCUCUCCUGUUGUUUAUCCUUGCCGCGACGGCCCGCCUGGCCGUCACGCUUCUUGCCGGACCCCUUAGCACCAUCUUGGCCCUUCUCCUUGUCCCGCCUCUCAUAUUCAGCACUCUGCUUCUCAGCGAGGAGCUCAACCUGUCGGCAGUCUUGGAGAGCAUGGCCUUUGGUGCGAUGGAUCUUGCAGUAUCGCUUAUUGGAGUUUCCUGGCUUCUCGGCAACCGCCAAGACCCGGGGCGACAUAUCCGGCAAUUUCCUUACCGGGGUCAUCUGCCUUGGUUUUCUUGGUGGAGCCGGUGUCACCAGAUCCCUCGACAGCAAGCACGGCUUUACCUUUGCGCUUCCUAUUGCGGCGCCGGCCCUUCUUCGCUGGGGCGGCAGUAUCUUCAUCUGAGGAGUCGGUUUCCACGCCGGCGUCUUCGCUGGGGUACUUCCUUCCCUCUUCAGCCCGGGCACAUCUGUCAGCAAGAACAUAGAGUUCUGCUACAUCUUUCACCUUGUUCAUUGCCAGCUCUGCGCGCAUCUUGCGGUUACGCACGUUCUGAUGGAACACGCUGAUGAUGGCGGUAGGGUGAACAUCUGGGAUAUUGUACUGUAUCCGGCUGAACCUCUGUCUAUACUUGCGGAGACUCUCGCCUCCCUUCUGAGGAAUGACGUGCAGGUCGCUCGCUUGGCCAUGGGCUUGGUGGCCUCCAAUAAAGGUGCCCACAAACUCAUGGCACAAAUCCGACCAGGAGGAAAUAGAGUCUACCGGCAAGUGCAUCAACCAUGACAUGGCGUUGGGUUUAAGAACCAACGGAAAGUAAUUCGCAAGCACCUUAUCGUCGCGGGCUCCAGCAGCUUGCAUCCCAAUGGUGUAGAUGCUGAGGAACUCAGACGGGUGGGUCUUGCCGCUGUACUUUUCGCCCAUGUCAGGUUUGAAGGUGCGGUGAGUGAGCCACUGGAACUGCCGCAGCUCACGGGUAAAAGCCGGACAGCCUACCUCGUAAGGUAGGCCUCCAGGGCUCUCCCGUGCCGGGUGGUUCACAGCAGGCCCUGCUCGCCUGUCUGACUGGUGGCGCGCUCGAGCGUCUUCAUGUUCUCGUUCCCGAAGGACUUGGCGCUGGUCACAGUGGGUCCGCGGAUCGGACGACACUAUGGAGAUUUCAUCGCACGUAACAUCGCAACGGGCUGGCGUCCGCGGUACCGAGCAAGGAGGAGGCGAGUGCACCGUGGUCGCGGCGCUGCCGGCUUUCCUGCCACUGGUGCGUGGGACUCGGUCGAAGCGUCGACCCGGGGGCUCCACCGGACUCGGUUUGUCUUUGUUGGCCACCGCAACAAGGCUUCGGAUAGUGGCUCUCCAUUCGUCGAGUUUCCCCGUAGUGGGAGGAAAAUUGAGGAGCAACUGCGCGCGUGCCAGGGCUUUUGCUGGCGUAGGUGGCAGCGAAACCUGCACGGAUCGCGAUGCGCUUCGACUUCCGACCAUGUCAGAAGGAGCUCUAUCACGACCCCGUGGUCGCAUGCCAUCUUCACCAGCGGCUCGGCGAGCGGGCAGGUCUUCUACCUCCCGGGAGUGGUGCUCGGGGCUCUUCCCGCGGCGACGCCCGGGGUCUUCGGCGUGAUUACGCCGUUCGUCGUGCGCCGCUUGAGAGGAGCGCGCCGUCGGCGCCGGCGUGGGAGUCUUGGAGGCCCUCGCAUCGCCUUCGGGCGGGGUGGCAGCGAUCUUGGAAGGCCCCGCGCCACCCGCGGAGGGCCUGGCUCCGUCUUUGGAUUUGGCGGCGUGCGGCCCGUUACCAGGCACACGAACAUCGCCGCCUCCCAAACUCCGGCUGCUGGGACGGUGUUGGUGUUCACGAACGAUGCCCCGGGUCCUUUCUGCGACCGGUCCGCUGCUCGCCCGCGUCGGGACGGGAUGUCCGGCUUCCGACGGGCCAACCACCACCGUCGUCUUCUUCUUGGGUGCCAUGAUGAUGAAGAAGCAUCGAACUAACUGCUAAAGCCGAUUCUCACAACUGCGCCCCCUACCUGGCGCGCCAAAGAUGUCGGUGGGAACGACACCUAUGGGAUCACAAGAAUCCCUACUACGGUUGUGGGGCGUGGGGUUGUGAGAAGAGCGGAUCAAACAGAUAGCACACGGUUCGUUUAUCCAGGUUCGGGCCGCGAGGAUGCGUAAAACCCUACUCCUGCUUUGGUGGAUUGUAUAUCUGUGUUCUUGAGCUAGCUAUGGGGCGUGAGGAGCUCCAAAAAGCCGAAUCCUCCUCUUGGUCGCCUCGGGCCUCCUUUUAUAGGAAAGGGGUUGCCACAGUGGCACACAGGAGGUGCAAAGGGUACAGUGAUGUGAGGUUAUCCCUUGCAUUACAUGACAAGGCACAUUUAAUGUGUCUUGCCCAGGUGUCCUUGCUUUAUCGGGGAUGGGGGAGAGCCCUGUCUCGUCCGUCGCUGCUCCCUCUCGAGUCGACACGCGCCCUGGCCAGCGGCGCCCGCGGUGCCAUGUACGCAGGCAGGCAGCUGAGGUGGCGCAGUGGUGGGUCUCCACGAAGAUCCGCAUGCCGCCACGCAGGUUCUUGCCCAGCUGGUUGGGUCGGCAGCUGCAUGCGAACGGCGGUGGAGGUUUGACUAGCGUCGGCCUGAUGGUGGCCCUACGGGUGUUCUUGGCAAGGGCCUUGCCAGAGCCCCGGCAAAGGUCUUGCCGUGGCACCUGCUCUCAUCCCCGGCAAGGCUCUUGCCGGGGGCCUUGUGGUCCUCCUUGGCCGGGAUCCCGCCAAGGAUCAUCAUCUUCUAAAGGGUGUAUCUGAUCUUGAAUGUCUUCACAAAGAUCCGCAUGCCACCACGGGGAUGUCUCCCGAAUCCUUGCCCCAUGGGGGCAGUGGACUCAAGGGUGACUCACUCCGUAGGUGUGGGGCGAGCUGCCACGACAAGGGUCUUGCCGGGUUUGCUAAAACCGCCUCCCGGCAAGGAUCUUGCCGGGGGGUCCGCUUCGCCCUCUUUGUUCUUUGUGGUCUUGGUCUUGGCGUCGUUCUGCUUCUCCUGAGCUUCGGCCUUACCUUGGCUCACCUCCCUUGCCUUGCUUAGUGUGGUGGUGCCCGUGGCUCAGACUGUCCGUGCACAAUUAUAGGGGAAAUAUUGUUGUGUGAAGAUGAUAUUUGUUUAGUCCGAAGACAUGUGUUGUUCUUACUUACUUUGUUGAUCGGUAGAGUUUGUACUGUUGCAUUGUGACACUCAUUUCUAUGUAUGAGAACUAGUUAAAUAUAUUAAUAAUGUACUGCACUUGCUAAUUAGUGUCCAGUUUACUGUAGACUGUUGCUCAAGUACUUGUGAUAUAUGAAUAUGUGCGUGUGAAUGUGAUGUGAAACAUUUCUAUUCUGUCCUAUAAUUUUGUUUCUUCCCUCUUUUGCAUGUCAAUAGUUAAAAGUGUUCAUGUCCUGUUGAUUCCCUUUCGUCAUUGGUGUUUGUCUGUGUUAGUGUUUUAAUUUCUUAAGCCUAAUAAAAAUAGCAAAAAGAUAGUGAGUAUGUUCUGUAUCUUCCUUUUCUGUUUGUAUUUCCUUUUUUGACGAUCUUUGGGAACAACCUUGUUUAGUUUAGGUUUAUUUUCUUGCAUUCAUAAUAGGAAUUGUGUUACCUAGAUUUAGCCGAGCAUAGUUGUCAUCGCCUAGUCCCUGUGGGGAACACGACACUCGCGAUUUGGGCGAAAUAUCCCACCGCACCUACAAAUGAUCAUUUUGGCGCCGUUGCCGGGGACUAGCAUCGAGCGAUUGUGUUAGGCUAUAGACUAGGUUUUUCUUCUUUUUCUAGUUUGUGCCAUAUAUUUGUGAUAUAUCUCUAACCACUAACCCCUGUUCUAGUUAGUAUCUUUUUGUUUUGUUUUCCUUUUGCAGGUUAGAGCUAUCUACUCGGUUAUGGCAUAUUAUUCAGAUUGUCUCGGAGAUGCGAGGAACACUACAAACAACACGGAAACUAUUCAAGAACUGAUAAGUAAGAUUUCCCAUCGAUUAGAUGAUUUAGCUCGGCAACGAAAAGUAGUUUUUGAGGAUAGGGCUAGCUCUUAUGAUCCUUAUUCUAGAGGUCAUCCUUAUGUUGCUCCUACAUGCCAUAUUUGUGGAUUUCAGGGCCAUUCACCCGCUAAAUGUCAGCGUGGUUACUCUCACUCUCCUGAUUGUUAUGGCAUGAGCUUCGCCCCAUAGUCUAGCUCAUACCAAAACAAUUACUCAUAUGGGUGGCCUGAAAACCAGAAUAUGUCAUAUAGGAGCAACAACCCUGAGAUCUCACCGCUUGCUUCUAGUAAUCAUAUGCAGGGAAUUAGGUACAAUGAGGAGAGCAACAACUAUGCUCCACAACAGAUUUAUUCACCUCCUACUCAUAUACCGCAGCACCAGGAGAUGUGUCCAAUGGAGUUAAAUGGUCCUCCACUUGGUCAACCAACAACUCCUACACCUGUUGUGCAAUCUCAUGUGCAAGUGCCCACACAAGAUGAGUUCGAUGACAUAGACAAGCUCACACUUUUGAGUCUUGAGUUCACUUGGAGUUCCGAGGAUGAUCCUAUUAGGAAGGUGAUACUUGAGGAAAUGAGGAAGAUUAAGAGUGGAAAGGAGCUAGUGGAAGAAGUAAGGAAGAUUGAGAAGAACAUCAACGCUGGAAGUACUAUCUCUUCCCUCCUUGAGCUGAGUGUUCCGGGAUAUCCCUUGAGGCAUGUGAGGUUCCAAUACCAUCACAUCUAGCUGAGCAAGAUAGCAAGUACCUUGAGCAAGAGAUACCUCAGAUUGAAGAAGAUGAACUAGAAGACAAGGAACAAGAUGAUCAAGAGCUGCAAUUCCCAAGUGAUCAAGUUGAAGACUCAUCAUCUACUACUCCUGAAGAAGUACAAGAAGCUGCUGUAGAUGAAGAUGAAGAACCUGAGAUUCAUUGGCCUACUGUCAUAAAUGAGCAUGAUGUGUCAGGUUUACCCAAUCUUCUUGAUGACAUGAGUCCGUAUGAUUUAUUUGCUUCUACCUUGCAUUACAUGAUGCCAUCACUUAAGAUUGAUUUGAAAAAUCAUUUGCUUGGAUAUGAUGAUACAUACACUGUUGGUGGCAUUGCUCAUUCAUGAUGAUCACAAUUACUUUCCUCGUGCUAGCCCUAUGCUUAAUGAAACAUAUCAUUCCCAUGCUAGUCUUGAGCUUAAUGAUAAAUAUCAUCCUCAUGUUAGUGUUGACUUUGCUGAUUUCUACCAUCCUAAACAUGUGCUUUAUAGCUAUGCUUAUGUAAUUGGAUACUCGAUUGAUGACUUGAAGGGUAUUAUCCCUACUGCUUGCAUUGUCUCUUUUGUGGAGUGUUCUUUCAGGUUUUUGCUUGUGCACGAAUCAAUACAUGCUGACCAGCUUUGAGGUGACAUUCCAUGGGACCCCGGUGGAUUCACGGCAUGGUGAUGAGGAGAAGCAAGGAGCACACACGACGAAGAGUGAAGCUGGAGCAGGCAUGAGGAUAGAGAAGCAAAGGAGAAGAGCUGCAGCUUAGAGAGUGAUCAAGCAAGUGCUACUUCAUAGUGUCCGGUGAGCUGUUUCAUGACCCAUUCUGAACAUCAUAAAUACAUGCUGAAUUCAAUUGCUAGUUGGGUUGCUUGAGCCAGUUAUUACUUGUUGUCAAGCUGAAAUUCACCUUUGGCAUAGUUCUAGAUGUAAAUUUAUGAACUUGAUUUCUGAAUGCCUUGUAAACUAGUGAUCUACACCAUGCGUGCUUUGCUGAAAUUAGUGAGAACUAUUAGUUUUGAGUGCUCAAAUCCCUAGUACACGAGAAAACUUCGUCAUUUUCUGCAUUUACUAUGAUACACCUAGAUCACCAUGUUUAGAUGUUGAAUUUGUUCUAAGUGUGUUCCCAUUGAGAGCAAUCACCUAACCACUAUGGAUUAGCAUGCUAUGUUCCCUGGAUCGGUAGCAUGUGAACUAGACAUGGAGAAGUGAGGAUUCCUGUUUUUGUGCUUAUGUGUUGUUCAUUAAAAAAGGUAUUUCUUAUAAUGAAUAAUAAUCUGAUCUUACCUAACAGUAGCAUGUCAUGUUCCCUGGAUCGGUGGCUUGUGAAAUCUAGUUGGAUCGGAUAGGAGUUAAUUAUAUUAUAAAAAAUUGUAAUUGUCGAACCAGGUGUAUACCAUGUUCUCGGGAUCGGUGGUAUGUUCCUUUGGGGAGACAAACAAAAAAACUAUACCAUGUUCUCGGGAUCGGUGGUAUGUUCCUUUGGUGAGACCGAUAAAAUAUUAUAAUUACUUCCUUCAAAUUCAAUAAGUGCUUCAACCAUAAUGCUAUGUUCCUGGUAAUAAGUUAUUUUUUGGGAUCAUGCUCUCUUUAGGAAUCCUUUGGCACAAGCAGCAUUUGAACUUGUUGAUCUACUUUUAUCAUUGUAAAGGUUUAAAAUAAUUGAGUCUACUAGUAUCCUAUUGCUUUGUAGCACUCUUAACCAUUGAUUUUGAUUAGCUAAGUCCAAAGCAUGCUUUGUUUGGAGAUCUACUUCACUGAGACAUUCUCCAGUCAGCUCACUGUUCAUUAUCUAGCUCUUGUCAUAUUCCUUUGCUUGAGGACAAGCAAAAGUUUAAGUGUGGGGGAACUUGAUAAGCACAUUUCUUAUAUACAAUUUGGGCACACAAAUUCACCAUUUAUUGAAAUAUAUCCAUCCAUUCUUGCUACGACUUGUUGAAUAUUCGAAUGAUAAUCAUAAAAGAGAAUGUUGACUAGUGAAUGUUUAUUUUGUAGAAAAGUGCGCAAAGGCACUAUAAUCGUCAAGACUUCUACUAUGUGGCUAACGAGAAGAGAGAAGGUUAUGAAAGAAAUGCGUCAAGGCCUGAGCGUGAAGGAAAGAAGUAAUGUAGGGGAGCAAACUAAAAGAAGAGGAGGAUCUUCUUGGGCAGAAAUGAAGAGAAGAGGAGGGCUAAUGUGCAAAUGUGGCAGAUUAGAGAGGGGAAUGAAAUCCCUAGCCGCACCUCAUUGCAAAUCGGGCCUGGCAUCUCUCUUCCUCUCCCUCACCCCUUCCUCUCCACCACCGGCCGCCGCCGCGGCGAGGCCAGUGUAGCGGUGCGCCACCCAGCCAUCCAUCCAUUCCAUCUCCACCACGCACCGUGCACCACCAGCACCAUCUCCUUCUCCUCCCCGAAUCCAUCCAUCUAUCCAUCCACCAUGCCAUCACAUCACCAGCACCCCUCACCACCAGCGCCAUUACUCCACUUCCUCCACUUCCCUUCUUUUCUGAACCUCAACUCCUUCUGCUGCUGCUCCCUCUCUCAACGCCUCCUGCUGCUGCUCCUUUCUUCUUUCACCGCUCCCUGCCGCCCUUCUACUCUUCCUGCUGAUGCUCUUCUUGCGACCCUACUGCUGCUACUUCUUCCCUUACCUUGUUGUUGUUCUUCUCUUUCUCUAUGUACCUUGCUGAUGUCCCAUCUCUCCUAGCGCUACUGCUGCACUUCUUCUAAAGCCCUCUCCUCACACCCGCUGCUGCUUCUUUUCUCCCCACACCUCUUGCUGCUGCUCCUAGUAUUUAUGAACCACAAAUCUGCCGUUCUUCUCCACCAAACCAAACCUGCUAUUGUUCUAUUUGUGUGCGUGUGUUUGUGUGAUUCAUAAAGAAAUAUUGUUGUGUGAAGAUGAUAUUUGUUCAGUCCGAAGACAUGUGUUGUUCUUACUUACUUUGUUGAUCAGUAGAGUUUGUACUAUUGCAUUGUGACACUCAUUUCUAUGUAUGAGAACUAGUUAAAUAGAUUAAUAAUGUACUGCACUUGCUAAUUAUUUUCCAGUUUACUAUAGACUGUUGCUCAAGUACUUGUGAUAUAUGAAUAUGUGCCUGUGAAUGUGAUGUGAAACAUUUCUAUUCUAUCCUAUAAUUUUGUUUCUUCUCUCUUUUGCAUGUCAAUAGUUAAAAGUGUUCAUGUCCUAUUGAUUCCCUUUCGUCAUUGAUGUUUGUCUGUGUUAGUGUUUUAAUUUCUCAAGCCUAAUAAAAAUAGCAAAAAGAUAGUGAGUAUGUUCUGU
rnacentral:lncRNA from 1 species